rnacentral:tRNA from 1 species
GAGGCUGUGGCUCAGCGGAAGAGCGUUCACCUAGCAUGUGCAAGGCCCUGGGUUCAAUCCUCAGCACCACA